rnacentral:rRNA from 1 species
GAUGAACGCUGGCGGCGUGCCUAAUACAUGCAAGUCGAGCGAACGGACGAGAAGCUUGCUUUUCUGAUGUUAGCGGCGGACGGGUGAGUAACACGUGGAUAACCUACCUAUAAGACUGGGAUAACUUCGGGAAACCGGAGCUAAUACCGGAUAAUAUUUUGAACCGCAUGGUUCAAAAGUGAAAGACGGUCUUGCUGUCACUUAUAGAUGGAUCCGCGCUGCAUUAGCUAGUUGGUAAGGUAACGGCUUACCAAGGCAACGAUGCAUAGCCGACCUGAGAGGGUGAUCGGCCACACUGGAACUGAGACACGGUCCAGACUCCUACGGGAGGCAGCAGUAGGGAAUCUUCCGCAAUGGGCGAAAGCCUGACGGAGCAACGCCGCGUGAGUGAUGAAGGUCUUCGGAUCGUAAAACUCUGUUAUUAGGGAAGAACAUAUGUGUAAGUAACUGUGCACAUCUUGACGGUACCUAAUCAGAAAGCCACGGCUAACUACGUGCCAGCAGCCGCGGUAAUACGUAGGUGGCAAGCGUUAUCCGGAAUUAUUGGGCGUAAAGCGCGCGUAGGCGGUUUUUUAGUCUGAUGUGAAAGCCCACGGCUCAACCGUGGAGGGUCAUUGGAAACUGGAAAACUUGAGUGCAGAAGAGGAAAGUGGAAUUCCAUGUGUAGCGGUGAAAUGCGCAGAGAUAUGGAGGGACACCAGUGGCGAAGGCGACUUUCUGGUCUGUAACUGACGCUGAUGUGCGAAAGCGUGGGGAUCAAACAGGAUUAGAUACCCUGGUAGUCCACGCCGUAAACGAUGAGUGCUAAGUGUUAGGGGGUUUCCGCCCCUUAGUGCUGCAGCUAACGCAUUAAGCACUCCGCCUGGGGAGUACGACCGCAAGGUUGAAACUCAAAGGAAUUGACGGGGACCCGCACAAGCGGUGGAGCAUGUGGUUUAAUUCGAAGCAACGCGAAGAACCUUACCAAAUCUUGACAUCCUUUGACAACUCUAGAGAUAGAGCCUUCCCCUUCGGGGGACAAAGUGACAGGUGGUGCAUGGUUGUCGUCAGCUCGUGUCGUGAGAUGUUGGGUUAAGUCCCGCAACGAGCGCAACCCUUAAGCUUAGUUGCCAUCAUUAAGUUGGGCACUCUAAGUUGACUGCCGGUGACAAACCGGAGGAAGGUGGGGAUGACGUCAAAUCAUCAUGCCCCUUAUGAUUUGGGCUACACACGUGCUACAAUGGACAAUACAAAGGGCAGCGAAACCGCGAGGUCGAGCAAAUCCCAUAAAGUUGUUCUCAGUUCGGAUUGUAGUCUGCAACUCGACUACAUGAAGCUGGAAUCGCUAGUAAUCGUAGAUCAGCAUGCUACGGUGAAUACGUUCCCGGGUCU